AUGCUGUCGUCAGCUCGUGUUGUGAGAUGUUGGGUUAAGUCCCGCAACGAGCGCAACCCCUAUCCUUAGUUGCUAGCAGGUAAUGCUGAGAACUCUAAGGAGACUGCCGGUGAUAAACCGGAGGAAGGUGGGGACGACGUCAAGUCAUCAUGGCCCUUACGUGUAGGGCUACACACGUGCUACAAUGGCGCAUACAGAGUGCUGCGAACUCGCGAGAGUAAGCGAAUCACUUAAAGUGCGUCGUAGUCCGGAUUGGGGUCUGCAACUCGACUCCAUGAAGUCGGAAUCGCUAGUAAUCGCGUAUCAGAAUGACGCGGUGAAUACGUUCCCGGGCCUUGUACACACCGCCCGUCACACCAUGGGAGUGGGUUGCUCCAGAAGUAGAUAGUCUAACCCUCGGGAGGACGUUUACCACGGAGUGAUUCAUGACUGGGGUGAAGUCGUAACAAGGUAGCCCUAGGGGAACCUGGGGCUGGAUCACCUCCUUAUACGAUUUAGAACUUAUUUGUUCGUAGUGUCCACACAGAUGAUUGUUAAUUAGUGCUUAUUCUUCGGAAUAACUAAUUAAUAUGCUCUUUAAAAAUUUGGAAAAGCUGAUAAUAAAAUUCUGAUAGAUACUUCGUAUUUAUCAAGAGUUUUCAAAAGUAAAAAAAGAAUGGUAGCAGUACCAUUCAGUGCCAUUUGAUUAACUCUUACGAGUUGAUUGAUUGGUAUCUACUUUAGUAUUCAAUAUUGACUUCUGGCGAAGUUAAACUGUCACAAAACAAAGACCCGUUUGGGUUGUAUGGUUAAGUGACUAAGCGUACACGGUGGAUGCCUUGGCAGUUGGAGGCGAUGAAGGACGUAUUAACUUGCGAUAAGCCUAGUCAAGCUAGUAAAAAGCGCUUGAGACUAGGAUUUCCGAAUGGGGAAACCCGG
rnacentral:sRNA from 1 species